CAAGGCUAAGCGGGUGUGGCGCCCCAACAGGUGAUUCCAAGGGUGGAGUUCCGAGUGCACCCGCAGUACAGGGCUCGAUUUGCGGGCCGGUGGGCAGUUCCGGGAUGUCCACCAGCUUACGCAAGAACAGCAGGGCAUACAGCACAUCGCCCUGGCUCACAUUGAGUCGCACACGAAGGAGCAGGUCAUUCCUGCUGGACUCCACAAGGAGGAGGCGGCAGGAGCCCAGCUGAGAGCACACCGCCAUGGUCUCUGACAUGGUGGGGUACGGCAGCCCCUCCAUCCUGCACAGCUCCACAUGUUGCCUGUACACCUGGAAACAAAAAGCAAAUCCAAGGAUGAGAAAAAAAUGUGCCCUCAGAAGCAGCCGGGGAAGGCCAAGAGACAAAAUAGGCGGGGCCUAUUCUGGAGGUAAAGCCACAGCUGGGACUCCCUCACAGCAUGUGGUGACUUUUGGAGACGGCCUGGCCAAUGGUCCAACAGCCAGCAUCAGGAGGGAAGGAGGCCACAAACCUGGGGAACCCAGAGGAGUCUGUGGUUAGAAUUUCUUGGCCCCCCUUCUGGAUCUGUAAGAACAGCUUGAGAAUGGCCCUAGGACCUACCAGUCGGCUGGACACCCGGUUCAUCAUGAUGCGC